CCAAGACACCUCCCGGCCAGUCACUGCCCACCCUGCCCAAACCACAGCUGACCUUGACCUCCGGACAACUCUGAGGCUGUUUGCACACCUGGCCAUUUAUUGUGAAGGAUGAAGCGCUAAGCAGUGUCCCAUUGUAACAGGUCUGUAGGCAGACUGGGGCCUGCACAUCAGUCCUUGGGGAAGUCACUUUUCAUUUGUUAGAGCCAAUGUUUGCGUGAAGACUUAGUCCCAGGUUUCACAGAAUGAAUAUAGUUUUAUACCCUGAGAAAAAGACACGAGGCUCUGUAAGGUAUUGGAAGAAGGUUUUCUCUGUGCACAGCACAGUUCUGACAGCCGGAAACCAGGAAGAAACAUGGAAAGAAUCUGAACAGCAUGACACUGGGAAAGAUGCUGAAGCUGAAACUCCAGUACUUUGGCCACCUCAUGCGAAGAGUUGACUCAUUGGAAAAGACUUGAUGCUGGGAGGGAUUGGGCGCAGGAGAAGGGGAUGACAGAGGAUGAGAUGGCUGGAUGGCAUCACUGACUUGAUGGACGUGAGUCUCAGUGAACUCCAGGAGUUGGUGAUGGACAGGGAGGCCUGGUGUGCUGCAAUUCAUGGGGUCGAAAAGAGUCGGACUCAACUGAGCGACUGAACUGAAUUGAACUGAGGGACGUGAAGAAAGAGAAACACCCACGUGCCUCCAGCUGGACAAUGUGACCUAGGAGGGAGCUGCCCCGGAGCUGCUCUGUAAGUGCACAGACGCUGAGCCGGGAGGAAGGGACGGGUGGUGCCAUCGCGAGGUCUCCUGCAGGGGACCGGGUCUAAGCUGCCCCGGAGCUGCUCUGUAAGUGCACAGACGCUGAGCCGGGAGGAAGGGACAGGUGGUGCCAUCGCGGGGUCUCCUGCAGGGGGCCGGGAUGCAAUGACUGCAGGUGUCGCGGCAGCGGGGGGAGGGGUGGCGGGUCCCGG
ensembl:lncRNA